rnacentral:rRNA from 1 species
AACGAACGCUGGCGGCAGGCUUAACACAUGCAAGUCGAACGCCCCGCAAGGGGAGUGGCAGACGGGUGAGUAACGCGUGGGAACAUACCCUUUUCUACGGAAUAGCUCUGGGAAACUGGAAUUAAUACCGUAUACGCCCUACGGUGGAAAGAUUUAUCGGGGAAGGAUUGGCCCGCGUUGGAUUAGCUAGUUGGUGGGGUAAAGGCCUACCAAGGCGACGAUCCAUAGCUGGUCUGAGAGGAUGAUCAGCCACAUUGGGACUGAGACACGGCCCAAACUCCUACGGGAGGCAGCAGUGGGGAAUAUUGGACAAUGGGCGCAAGCCUGAUCCAGCCAUGCCGCGUGAGUGAUGAAGGCCUUAGGGUUGUAAAGCUCUUUAACCGAUGAAGAUAAUGACGGUAGUCGGAGAAGAAGCCCCGGCUAACUUCGUG